rnacentral:rRNA from 1 species
AUUGAACGCUGGCGGCAUGCUUUACACAUGCAAGUCGAACGGCAGCGGGGGCUUCGGCCUGCCGGCGAGUGGCGAACGGGUGAGUAAUGCAUCGGAACGUGCCCAUGUCGUGGGGGAUAACGUAUCGAAAGGUACGCUAAUACCGCAUACGUCCUGAGGGAGAAAGCGGGGGAUCUUCGGACCUCGCGCGAUUGGAGCGGCCGAUGUCGGAUUAGCUAGUUGGUGAGGUAAAGGCUCACCAAGGCGACGAUCCGUAGCGGGUCUGAGAGGAUGAUCCGCCACACUGGGACUGAGACACGGCCCAGACUCCUACGGGAGGCAGCAGUGGGGAAUUUUGGACAAUGGGCGCAAGCCUGAUCCAGCCAUGCCGCGUGAGUGAAGAAGGCCUUCGGGUUGUAAAGCUCUUUCGGCCGGGAAGAAAUCGUGUUCUCUAACAUAGGACAUGGAUGACGGUACCGGACUAAGAAGCACCGGCUAACUACGUGCCAGCCGCCGCAGUAAAAC